UACGUAGGUGGCGAGCGUUAUUCGGAUUUAUUGGGCGUAAAGGGUUCGUAGGGGGCUAGGUAAGUUUGAUGUGAAAUCCUGCGGCUUAACUGCAGAACUGCAUUGGAUACUGCCUGGCUUGAGGUUCGGAGAGGAAAGCAGAAUUCCCGGUGUAGCGGUGGAAUGCGUAGAUAUCGGGAGGAAUACCAAAAGCGAAGGCAGCUUUCUGGCCGACACCUGACCCUGAGGAACGAAAGCCUGGGGAGCAAACAGG
rnacentral:rRNA from 1 species